GUGCCCUACGGGGCGCAGCAGUGGGGAAUAUUGGACAAUGGGGGGAACCCUGAUGCAGCGACGCCGCGUGAGUGAAGAAGUAUUUCGGUAUGUAAAGCUCUAUCAGCAGGGAAGAAAAUGACGGUACCUGACUAAGAAGCCCCGGCUAACUACGUGCCAGCAGCCGCGGUAAUACGUAGGGGGCAAGCGUUAUCCGGAUUUACUGGGUGUAAAGGGAGCGUAGACGGCAGAGCAAGUCUGAAGUGAAAGCCCGCGGCCCAACUGCGGGACUGCUUUGGAAACUGCCCGGCUGGAGUGCUGCGGCG
rnacentral:rRNA from 1 species